ensembl:snRNA U6 U6 spliceosomal RNA
GUGCUUGCUUCUGAGGCACACAUCCUAAAAUUGAAUGGUACAGAGAAGAAGAGUAUGGCCCUUGCUCAAGGAUGAUAUGCAGAUUCAUGAUAUAUUCCAUAUUUCU